UUCGAACCAGGAACGCUAGUGCUUUACAUUUUUUUUUUAAUGCACCGAAAAUAACAAUUAUCUAAAAGAGGAAAUAUGACAACAAAGAUACAUGUAAUAUGUUCAAUUAUAAUCAAUAAGGAAAACAAAUCACGAAUGGCUACAAUUUUUUUCCACCUCAAAUUCAAUAAAAAUAUCGGUUUUAAGUUAUAAUCACAAAGCAACCUUUUUCUGUUGAUCAUGGAAAGCUUGGGGAGCAAAUCUUACUGAAAAACCAUGCACUAAAUCGUAGUCUUUUUCAUCGUCGUUCUCGUCGUCGUCGUCGUCCCCGUCACCAUUAAAGUUGAGAGCAUAGAUUUUUCUCCAUCGUUUUCGCCAUUCCAUCUGAAGCAAAAUGACCUAAAACAGGCGCAUCCACUAGCCGAACUCGUCUUGUUCUAAGACGUCAACUACAUUAUUGUCAUCAUCACCUUCAUGUUCACGCUUAUGUAUUGGCGAAUAAGCAGCAUUAAAGGCUUGUUUUUGUUGACAUCUGGCCGCAGCGUCACAAGAAAUAAAUGUCCGGAAAUGGUGCCCUAAAGGCUAGAUCAAUUUCGAAGUGUUGGAAUGA
rnacentral:lncRNA from 1 species